rnacentral:rRNA from 1 species
GCCUAACACAUGCAAGUCGAACGAAGUAGCAAUACUUAGUGGCAGACGGGUGAGUAUACAUGUAGGUAUCUGCCCUUUGGCCUGGAAUAACACGAGGAAACUUGUGCUAAUACCGGAUAAGUCUUUACGGAGAAAGCUUUAUGCACCAUUGGAUGAGCCUGCACUUGAUUAGUUUGUUGGUGGGGUAAUGGCCUACCAAGACUGUGAUCAAUAGCUGAUUUGAGAGGAUGAUCAGCCACAUUGGGACUGAGACACGGCCCAAACUCCUACGGGAGGCAGCAGUGGGGAAUCUUGCACAAUGGAGGAAACUCUGAUGCAGCGAUGCCGCGUGAGUGAAGAAGGCCCUUGGGUUGUAAAGCUCUUUCGUCGGGGAAGAAAAUGACUGUACCCGAAUAAGAAGGUCCGGCUAACUUCGUGCCAGCAGCCGCGGUAAUACGAAGGGACCUAGCGUAGUUCGGAAUUACUGGGCUUAAAGAGUUCGUAGGUGGUUGAAAAAGUUAGUGGUGAAAUCCCAGAGCUUAACUCUGGAACUGCCAUUAAAACUUUUCAGCUAGAGUAUGAUAGAGGAAAGCAGA